ACAGCAACCUGUAUUUGUAACUUUGCAUUUCCUCUUUAUCUCAGCAGGCUUAUGGCCAUACCACUAAAUGUGAACUUUAUUGUCAGCACUGGAAAUGUGGGCCCUAUCACAAGGCCCACAUUAGGAGGCACCUGGCUAAUUGCUGCACAAUUAAUUCAGGUCUGAUUCAGUCUUACAGUUUUGAUGUCUCAAAUAAAGGUCAGCACCUUAACAAGGAGCACAUUCACAAGUGGAUGAGACAAGCAGGGGCUGGAGAAGACAUCUGCCUCCAAACUCCUGAUGGACCUCAAGGACCUGUGUCUGGUAGGAGAACUGCUGCAGGAGGGGAGAGAGAGCUCAGAAGAUGUUUGGUUUUUUUUUUU
rnacentral:lncRNA from 1 species